rnacentral:rRNA from 1 species
UACGUAGGGUGCAAGCGUUAAUCGGAAUUACUGGGCGUAAAGCGUGCGCAGGCGGUGAUGUAAGACAGGUGUGAAAUCCCCGGGCUUAACCUGGGAACUGCAUUUGUGACUGCAUCGCUGGAGUGCGGCAGAGGGGGAUGGAAUUCCGCGUGUAGCAGUGAAAUGCGUAGAUAUGCGGAGGAACACCGAUGGCGAAGGCGACAUCCUGGACCGGUAUUGACGCUGAGGCGCGAAAGCCAGGGGAGCAAACGGG